GCCUGGCUGGCUCAGUCGGUAGACUGUGUGGCUCUUGAUCUUAGGGUCAUGAGUUCAAGCCCCAUGCUGGGCA
rnacentral:tRNA from 1 species